rnacentral:lncRNA from 1 species
UAUCAAGGUUAUAAACAUGAAAGGCAAAGUCUGGAAGAGGUCUUGAUUUGGAGGUGAAAGAUACUGAAUUCUGUUUGGUCUCUAAGAUGGACAUAUUGAGCUUGAGAAGUUUCUGAUGUCUAACAUGUCUAUUGGAUAACUGAUGAUGCAGAGUUGAAGGCUGGAGUAGAGACAGAGACUGGAUAUAUCAACCUGUGUCAAACAUGCUUUGGAAAGCCUACAAUUUUUCCGUGAGGAUAAAGAGGACUUCCUGUCUAAUGAAGGUUGCUGAACUUGGGGAUGGCGGUGUGACCACAGCAACAGAGUAAAAAUAGGAGCAAAGCAGGGAACUUGGGACUUCCUGAUUGAGGGAGCCCAUUUCCGAAAGGACCUUGGACAGAGCACAGCGCUUCUAUGCUCCUUUUGGAAGACCCACCAAUCCUCACCUCCUGCAAUGAGCUCAUUCUUAAAGAGGAGGCAGCCUGCUUGGAAAAGAAGGCAGUCUUGUCAUGCUCAGAAUGACCUGCGCUACACCACACAGUGUCUGCUCCUGCAUAAUUUCUAUAGAAGUGAGAAAGAACAGCAGCAAAACAAUCAAGAUUGUGAAAUUAUAAAAAGACAAGCUUGGCUCCAGAGAAGAGAUAUGAGAAAGCACAUCAGAUUGCUUCUAUAAAAAGGGUUGAAGGACUACCUACUCCUUCUUCAAAACGUUUAUCAUCUUCUCCAUGAAGUCUUCUUUGCUUGACUUAGCCGUUGGUGAACUUUCCAUCCUUUAAGGUCUGUAGCACUUUUUUAUGAAUUAUUUGGCAUUUUACAUAUGUUAUCUUGUUUCAUUGCUUAUAUUCUAAUGGUAUUGUCCUUUUUCAUUAGCUAGGUUAUAAGCCCCAGUAUGUUAAGGUCUUUGUUUUAUAAAUUAACAAAUAUAUUAAUUUUUAAUUAAUAUUUUAAGUUAAAUUAAUUUUAAAUAACUAAGAAAAAGCAAAACAUUUAUUGAACACUUACUAUGUGUGAAACAAUAUGCUAAAUGCUGGAGGUAAAUAUAGGAAUGUCAGAGACAUCCUGCUUUUAAG